rnacentral:misc_RNA from 1 species
UACGCAGGAGGCACUCUUUGUUCGAGAUUAUUGGGCGUAAAGCGCGCGCAGGCGGCCUCUUAAGUCUGAUGUGAAAGCCCCCGGCUCAACCGGGGAGGGCCAUUGGAAACUGGGAGGCUUGAGUAUAGGAGAGAAGAGUGGAAUUCCACGUGUAGCGGUGAAAUGCGUAGAGAUGUGGAGGAACACCAGUGGCGAAGGCGACUCUUUGGCCUAUAACUGACGCUGAGGCGCGAAAGCGUGGGGAGCAAACAGG